rnacentral:rRNA from 1 species
UCGAGGAUCUUCGGCAAUGGGCGCAAGCCUGACCGAGCGACGCCGCGUGUGCGACGAAGGCCUUCGGGUUGUAAAGCACUGUCGAGGGGAAGAAAAGCCGCAAGGCCUGAUCGACCCCUGGAGGAAGCACGGGCUAAGUUCGUGCCAGCAGCCGCGGUAAGACGAACCGUGCGAACGUUGUUCGGAUUCACUGGGCUUAAAGGGCGCGUAGGCGGACCUCCAAGUCAGGGGUGAAAGCCCCCGGCCCAACCGGGGAAGUGCCUCUGAUACUGGCGGUCUCGAGCGGGAUAGGGGCAGCUGGAACUUCCGGUGGAGCGGUGAAAUGCGUAGAUAUCGGAAGGAACGCCGGUGGCGAAAGCGAGCUGCUGGAUCCCUCCUGACGCUGAGGCGCGAAAGCCAGGGGAGCGAACGGGAUUAGAUACCCCCGUAGUCC